GUUGUUAACAGUAUAUUUCCACGUCAACUGUAAUCCAUUUACAAGAAGCAGGUGUUGUCACUGUAGUUCCUGCUUUUUACACUAACUUACUGUAGUGUGGCAUUAUGGGAUUGCGCGCGCAUCAUUCAAAUCUGAAACCCAGCCGACUGGAGCAGCCCGAGAACGAUUGAAGAUUAGAGGCUUUAUUCAUAAUUCCUGGUGCAAAGAUUAGCAGCUGAUGUGGAGAAAUGUUCGAUGCUUCAAGACUCUGAAGCUGAUUUUAUUAGGUCCACCCAGUGGCUUUUGACUAUUUGAGGGUCAGAUGGUUGUGAAUUCAUACCUCAACAUUGUGCGUCCCGGGAGCAGGCAUCUUUUGCACACAUUAAUUUUUUCAAAGUGGUAUUUACUGGAGAGUCUAUGGGACAGUCACAAUCUUCCCGGUUGCAUCCAAAAUAUCUUAAAUUGUGUUCCGAAGACGAACGCAGCUUUUACGGGUUUGGAACGACAUGG